AUGAACGCUGGCGGCGUGCCUAAUCCCUGCAAGUCGAGCGAACAGACGAGGAGCUUGCUCCUCUGACGUUAGCGGCGGACGGGUGAGUAACACGUGGAUAACCUACCUAUAAGACUGGGAUAACUUCGGGAAACCGGAGCUAAUACCGGAUAAUAUAUUGAACCGCAUGGUUCAAUAGUGAAAGACGGUUUUGCUGUCACUUAUAGAUGGAUCCGCGCCGCAUUAGCUAGUUGGUAAGGUAACGGCUUACCAAGGCAACGAUGCGUAGCCGACCUGAGAGGGUGAUCGGCCACACUGGAACUGAGACACGGUCCAGACUCCUACGGGAGGCAGCAGUAGGGAAUCUUCCGCAAUGGGCGAAAGCCUGACGGAGCAACGCCGCGUGAAUGAUGAAGGUCUUCGGAUCGUAAAACUCUGUUAUUAGGGAAGAACAAAUGUGUAAGUAACUAUGCACGUCUUGACGGUACCUAAUCAGAAAGCCACGGCUAACUACGUG
rnacentral:rRNA from 1 species